GAUGAAGAACGUAGCGAAUUGCGAUAUGUAAUGUGAAUUGCAGAAUUCAGUGAAUCAUCGAAUCUUUGAACGCACAUUGCACCCUCUGGUAUUCCGGAGGGUAUGCCUGUUUGAGUGUCAUUAAUAUAUCAACACAGGCAAGUUUUUCAUGACUUGCUCUGCUGUUUGGAUGUUGAAGGCUUGCUGGCAAUUACAUUUCCUGUCAGCUCCUUUUAAAUUCAUUAGCAGGAACCUUGCAGGACUGGCUUCAGUUUGAUAAAAUUGAACUGUUGGCAGAAUGCGCUUUUGUUGUUCCAGCUUCUAAUUGUCUGGUAAAACUGGACUGUCUCGCUUUGAGGCAAUAUACUUUUGAUAACUUGGCCUCAAAUCAGGUAGGAUUACCCGCUGAACUUAAGCAUAUCAAUAAGCGGAGGA
rnacentral:misc_RNA from 1 species